GACGAACGCUGGCGGCGUGCUUAACACAUGCAAGUCGAACGGAAAGGCCCUGCUCUUGUGGGGCUCUCGAGUGGCGAACGGGUGAGUAACACGUGAGUAACCUGCCCUUGUCUUUGGGAUAACUCCAGGAAACUGGGGCUAAUACAGGAUAGGAGCUCCUGCUGCAUGGUGGGGGUUGGAAAGUUUCGGCGGUUUGGGAUGGACUCGCGGCUUAUCCGCUUGUUGGUGGGGUAGUGGCUUACCAAGGCUUUGACGGGUAGCCGGCAUGAGAGGGUGACCGGCGACAAUGGGACUGAGGGACGGCCCAGACUCGUACGGGAGGCAGCGGUGGAAAAUAUUGCACAAUGGGCGGGAGCCUGAUGCAGAGACGCCGCGUGCGGGAUGACGGCCUUCGGGUUGUAAACCGCUUUCGCCUGUGACGAAGCGUGAGUGACGGUAAUGGGUAAAGAAGCACCGGCUAACUACGUG
rnacentral:rRNA from 1 species